CGGGACGUGGCGCAGGUGGUAGCGCGUACCCUUGGGGUGGGUAAGGUCGCGGGUUCAAGUCCCGCCGUUCCGA
rnacentral:tRNA from 1 species